GUGCUCGCUUCAGCAGCACAUUUACUAAAAUGGGAACAAUACAGAGAAGAUUAAUACAGCCCCAGCACAAGGAUGACAUGCAAAUUCGUGAAGCCUUCCAUAUUUUU
ensembl:snRNA U6 U6 spliceosomal RNA